UACGUAGGAGGCGAGCGUUGUCCGGAUUUACUGGGCGUAAAGCGCGCGCAGGCGGCACUGUAAGUAAGGUGUGAAAUCUCCCUGCUCAACGGGGAGGGUGCAUUUUAGACUGCAGAGCUAGAGGACGGUAGAGGGGGGUGGAAUUGCUGGUGUAGCGGUGAAAUGCGCAGAUAUCAGGAGGAACACCGAUGGCGAAGGCAGCUCGCUGGGACGGUACUGACGCUGAGGCGCGAAAGCGUGGGGAGCGAACAGG
rnacentral:rRNA from 1 species